AGCACCGGCUAACUACGUGCCAGCAGCCGCGGUAAUACGUAGGGUGCAAGCGUUAUCCGGAAUUAUUGGGCGUAAAGGGCUCGUAGGCGGUUCGUCGCGUCCGGUGUGAAAGUCCAUCGCUUAACGGUGGAUCCGCGCCGGGUACGGGCGGGCUUGAGUGCGGUAGGGGAGACUGGAAUUCCCGGUGUAACGGUGGAAUGUGUAGAUAUCGGGAAGAACACCAAUGGCGAAGGCAGGUCUCUGGGCCGUCACUGACGCUGAGGAGCGAAAGCGUGGGGAGCGAACAGGAUUAGAUACCCUGGUAGUCCACGCCGUAAACGGUGGAUGCUGGAUGUGGGGACCAUUCCACGGUCUCCGUGUCGGAGCCAACGCGUUAAGCAUCCCGCCUGGGGAGUACGGCCGCAAGGCUAAAACUCAAAGAAAUUGACGGGGGCCCGCACAAGCGGCGGAGCAUGCGGAUUAAUUCGAUGCAACGCGAAGAACCUUACCUGGGCUUGACAUGUUCCCGACAGCCGUAGAGAUACGGUCUCCCUUCGGGGCGGGUUCACAGGUGGUGCAUGGUCGUCGUCAGCUCGUGUCGUGAGAUGUUGGGUUAAGUCCCGCAACGAGCGCAACCCUCGCCCUGUGUUGCCAGCACGUCGUGGUGGGAACUCACGGGGGACCGCCGGGGUCAACUCGGAGGAAGGUGGGGAUGACGUCAGAUCAUCAUGCCCCUUACGUCCAGGGCUUCACGCAUGCUACAAUGGCCGGUACAACGGGAUGCGACACUGUGAGGUGGAGCGGAUCCCUUAAAACCGGUCUCAGUUCGGAUUGGAGUCUGCAACCCGACUCCAUGAAGGCGGAGUCGCUAGUAAUCGCGGAUCAGCAACGCCGCGGUGAAUGCGUUCCCGGGCCUUGUACACACCGCCCGUCAAGUCAUGAAAGUGGGUAGCACCCGAAGCCGGUGGCCCAACCUUUUGGGGGGAGCCGUCUAAGGUGAGACUCGUGAUUGGGACUAAGUCGUAACAAGGUAGCCGUACCGGAAGGUGCGGCUG
rnacentral:rRNA from 1 species